UGGGGAAUUUUGGACAAUGGGCGAAAGCCUGAUCCAGCAAUGCCGCGUGUGUGAAGAAGGCCUUCGGGUUGUAAAGCACUUUUGUCCGGAAAGAAAUCCUUGGCUCUAAUACAGUCGGGGGAUGACGGUACCGGAAGAAUAAGCACCGGCUAACUACGUGCCAGCAGCCGCGGUAAUACGUAGGGUGCAAGCGUUAAUCGGAAUUACUGGGCGUAAAGCGUGCGCAGGCGGUUUGCUAAGACCGAUGUGAAAUCCCCGGGCUCAACCUGGGAACUGCAUUGGUGACUGGCAGGCUAGAGUAUGGCAGAGGGGGGUAGAAUUCCACGUGUAGCAGUGAAAUGCGUAGAGAUGUGGAGGAAUACCGAUGGCGAAGGCAGCCCCCUGGGCCAAUACUGACGCUCAUGCACGAAAGCGUGGGGAGCAAAACAGGAUUAGAUACCCUGGUAGUCCACGCCCUAAACGAUGUCAACUAGUUGUUGGGGAUUCAUUUCCUUAGUAACGUAGCUAACGCGUGAAGUUGACCGCCUGGGGAGUACAGUCGCAAGAUUAAAACUCAAAUGAAUUGACGGGGUCAUAGCUGUUUCCU
rnacentral:rRNA from 1 species